UACCAUGGUGGUAACGGGUAACGGGGUGUUAGGGCACGACACCGGAGAGGGAGCCUGAGAAACGGCUACCACAUCCAAGGAUGGCAGCAGGCGCGCAAAUUACCCAAUCCCGACACGGGGAGGUAGUGACAAUAAAUAACAAUACGGGGUUCUUUAGGAUCUCGUAAUUGGAAUGAGUACAAUUUAAAUCUCUUAACGAGGAACAAUUGGAGGGCAAGUCUGGUGCCAGCAGCCGCGGUAAUUCCAGCUCCAAUAGCGUAUAUUAAAGUUGUUGCAGUUAAAAAGCUCGUAGUUGAAUUUCGGGGUCAGUAGGUCGGUCGUGCCACUGGUAUGAACUGGUUUUACUGAUUCCUCCCUCCUGAAGAACUGUAGUGCCAUUAAUUUGGUGUUGCAGGGAAUCAGGACUGUUACUUUGAAAAAAUUAGAGUGUUUAAAGCAGGCUUUAGCUUGAAUACAUUAGCAUGGAAUAAUGAAAUAGGACGUUUGAUCCUAUUUUGUUGGUUUCUAGGAUUGACGUAAUGAUUAAUAGGGAUAGUUGGGGGCAUUAGUAUUCAAUUGUCAGAGGUGAAAUCCUUGGAUUUAUUGAAGACUAACUACUGCGAAAGCAUUUGCCAAGGAUGUUUUCAUUAAUCAAGAACGAAAGUUAGGGGAUCGAAGACGAUCAGAUACCGUCGUAGUCUUAACCAUAAACUAUGCCGACUAGGGAUCGGAUGAUGUUAAUUUUUUAAUGACUCAUCCGGCGCCUUACGGGAAACCAAAGUGUUU
rnacentral:rRNA from 1 species